rnacentral:siRNA from 1 species
CCAUUCACGUCUAUAAGAUGCA